rnacentral:rRNA from 1 species
UACAGAGGGGGCAAGCGUUGUUCGGAAUUACUGGGCGUAAAGGGCGCGUAGGCGGCCUGUUAAGUCAGACGUGAAAUCCCUCGGCUCAACCGGGGAACUGCGUCUGAUACUGGCGGGCUUGAAUUCGGGAGAGGGAUGUGGAAUUCCAGGUGUAGUGGUGAAAUGCGUAGAUAUCUGGAGGAACACCGGUGGCGAAGGCGGCAUCCUGGACCGACAUUGACGCUGAGGCGCGAAAGCCAGGGGAGCAAACGGG